AUAAAGCAAUGCUGAACGCACAGAAGUCAGCAAAGGCCAUAGUAGCCGAGAGGUGAAGGA
rnacentral:ncRNA from 1 species